AGUCGAGCGCGCCCUUCGGGGUGAGCGGCGGACGGGUUAGUAACGCGUGGGAACAUACCCUUUUCUACGGAAUAGCCUCUGGAAACGGAGAGUAAUACCGUAUGAGCCCUUCGGGGGAAAGAUUUAUCGGGAAAGGAUUGGCCCGCGUUAGAUUAGGUAGUUGGUGGGGUAAUGGCCUACCAAGCCUACGAUCUAUAGCUGGUUUUAGAGGAUGAUCAGCAACACUGGGACUGAGACACGGCCCAGACUCCUACGGGAGGCAGCAGUGGGGAAUCUUGGACAAUGGGGGCAACCCUGAUCCAGCCAUGCCGCGUGAGUGAUGAAGGCCUUAGGGUCGUAAAGCUCUUUCGCCUGUGAAGAUAAUGACGGUAGCAGGUAAAGAAACCCCGGCUAACUCCGUGCCAGCAGCCGCGGUAAUACGGAGGGGGUUAGCGUUGUUCGGAAUUACUGGGCGUAAAGCGCACGUAGGCGGACUGGAAAGUAUGGGGUGAAAUCCCAGGGCUCAACCCUGGAACUGCCUCAUAAACUAUCAGUCUAGAGUUCGAGAGAGGUGAGUGGAAUUCCAAGUGUAGAGGUGAAAUUCGUAGAUAUUUGGAGGAACACCAGUGGCGAAGGCGGCUCACUGGCUCGAUACUGACGCUGAGGUGCGAAAGUGUGGGGAGCAAACAGGAUUAGAUACCCUGGUAGUCCACACCGUAAACGAUGAAUGCCAGUCGUCGGGUAGCAUGCUAUUCGGUGACACACCUAACGGAUUAAGCAUUCCG
rnacentral:rRNA from 1 species